rnacentral:rRNA from 1 species
AUUAAGCUUAAUUUAAUAUAGGAUCUGCUCAAUGAUUUAUUUAAUAGCUGCAGUAUUUUGACUGUGCAAAGGUAGCAUAAUAAUUAGUCUUUUAAUUGAGGACUUGUAUGAAAGAUUUGAUGAGAAAUAAACUUUAUUAUCUAUAUAAUUAAAAUUUUAUUUUUAAGUAAAAAAGCUUAAAUUUUUUAAAGGGACGAUAAGACCCUAUAAAACUUUAUAAAUAUAAAUUUUAAUUUUUUUGGAUUUAUAAAUAUUUUAAUUUUAAUAUUUAUUUUAUUGGGGUGAUAAAAAAAAUUAUUAAACUUUUUUUAAAAUUUUACAUUAUUUAAUGAAAUUUUGAAUCAAAAUUUUUGAUUAAAGGAAAAAGUUACUUUAGGGAUAACAGCGUAAUUAAUUUUUUAAGUUCAAAUUUAAAAAUUAGUUUGCGACCUCGAUGUUGAAUUAAGAUUAAUCUUAGGUGCAAAAUUUUAAGUAUUAGGUCUGUUCGACCUUUAAAUUCUUACGUGA